AUUGAACGCUGGCGGCAGGCUUAACACAUGCAAGUCGAGCGGAGAUGAGGUGCUUGCACCUUAUCUUAGCGGCGGACGGGUGAGUAAUGCUUAGGAAUCUGCCUAUUAGUGGGGGACAACAUUCCGAAAGGAAUGCUAAUACCGCAUACGUCCUACGGGAGAAAGCAGUGGAUCUUCGGACCUUGCGCUAAUAGAUGAGCCUAAGUCGGAUUAGCUAGUUGGUGGGGUAAAGGCCUACCAAGGCGACGAUCUGUAGCGGGUCUGAGAGGAUGAGCCGCCACACUGGGACUGAGACACGGCCCAGACUCCUACGGGAGGCAGCAGUGGGGAAUAUUGGACAAUGGGGGGAACCCUGAUCCAGCCAUGCCGCGUGUGUGAAGAAGGCCUUAUGGUUGUAAAGCACUUUAAGCGAGGAGGAGGCUACUGAGACUAAUACUCUUGGAUAGUGGACGUUACUCGCAGAAUAAGCACCGGCUAACUCUGUGCCAGCCGCCGCCGUAAGAC
rnacentral:rRNA from 1 species